rnacentral:rRNA from 1 species
UAGGGAAUCUUCCACAAUGGGCGCAAGCCUGAUGGAGCAACACCGCGUGAGUGAAGAAGGGUUUCGGCUCGUAAAGCUCUGUUGUUAAAGAAGAACACGUAUGAGAGUAACUGUUCAUACGUUGACGGUAUUUAACCAGAAAGUCACGGCUAACUACGUUCCAG